UACGUAGGGUGCAAGCGUUAAUCGGAAUUACUGGGCGUAAAGCGUGCGCAGGCGGUUUUGUAAGUUUGUCGUGAAAUCCCCGGGCUCAACCUGGGAAUGGCGAUGAAGACUGCAAGGCUAGAAUCUGGCAGAGGGGGGUAGAAUUCCACGUGUAGCAGUGAAAUGCGUAGAGAUGUGGAGGAACACCGAUGGCGAAGGCAGCCCCCUGGGUCAAGAUUGACGCUACAUGCACGAA
rnacentral:rRNA from 1 species